rnacentral:rRNA from 1 species
UACAGAGGUCUCAAGCGUUGUUCGGAUUCAUUGGGCGUAAAGGGUGUGUAGGUGGCGCGCUAAGUCGGGUGUGAAAUUUCGGAGCUUAACUCCGAAACUGCAUUCGAUACUGGCGUGCUUGAGGACUGGAGAGGAGACUGGAAUUCAUGGUGUAGCAGUGAAAUGCGUAGAGAUCAUGAGGAAGACCAGUGGCGAAGGCGGGUCUCUGGACCGGCAUUGACGCUGAACAGCGAAAGCUAGGGGAGCAAACGGG